rnacentral:ncRNA from 2 species
CAGCUAAACACGAGCUGCGGUUCCUUUAACCAGGAUUAAUAGGGAACCCUGUGAAAAUCAGGGACUGUACCCGCAACUGUAAAUCCUACACAAGCUGAAAUCCCAUCCUUUGCCACUGUCAGGACCACUGACGGGAAGGCCGGUUUCAGCCAGGAUUAGUCAGGAGACCUGCCGCAUGACUCUUACCUGC